rnacentral:misc_RNA from 1 species
GAAAUGCGAUAACUAGUGUGAAUUGCAGAAUUCAGUGAAUCAUCGAGUCUUUGAACGCACAUUGCGCCCGUCGGUACUCCGGCGGGCAUGCCUGUUCGAGCGUCAUUUCACCAGUCAGGCCCGCUUGUGGUCUGGUCUUGGGUCCCGUCGUGGAGACGGAUCCUAAACCCACCUUCCGGCGGCCCCCACCGUCACUGCCCGGAACGCGUCGUGGAGCUUUCUUUUGCCUCGCGGCCGGGUGCGGUUUGGCGCGCGCAACCUCUUUUUUUUUGUUUUGACCUCGGAUCAGGUAGGGAUACCCGCUGAACUUAA